GGUCUAAUCUGCCCACUGAUAUUAAUUGAAGGGCCGCGGUAUUUUAACCGUGCAAAGGUAGCAUAAUCAUUAGUUUUUUAAUUGAAGGCUUGUAUGAAUGAUUGGACGAGAUAUUAGCUGUUUCAUAUAAAUUUUAAUAGAAUUUUAUUUUUUAGUUAAAAAGCUAAAAUAAUUAUAAAAGACGAGAAGACCCUAUAGAUCUUAAUAAUUUAUAUAUUUUAUUUAUAUAGAAAUUUUUAAAUAUUAUAUUUAUAAUUAUUUUGUUGGGGUGACAAUAAAAUUUAGUUAACUUUUAUAUAAUUUUUACAUUGAUUAAUGAAUAAUUGAUCCAUUAUUAGUGAUUAAUAAAUUAAGUUACCUUAGGGAUAACAGCGUAAUUUUUUUAGAGAGUUCUUAUCGAUAAAAAAGAUUGCGACCUCGAUGUUGGAUUAAGAGAUAAAGUUGGGUGUAGAAGUUCAAAUAUUUAGGUCUGUUCGACCUUUAAUUUCUUACGUGAUCUGAGUUC
rnacentral:rRNA from 1 species